CAAUAGCGUAUAUUAAAGUUGUUGCGGUUAAAAAGCUCGUAGUUGGAUUUCUGUCGAGGACGACCGGUCCGCCCUCUGGGUGAUGCAUCUGGCUCGGCCUUGGCAUCUUCUUGGGGAACGUUACUGCACUUGACUGUGUGGUGCGGUAUCCAGGACUUUUACUUUGAGGAAAUUAGAGUGUUUCAAGCAGGCGCACGCCUUGAAUACAUUAGCAUGGAAUAAUAAGAUAGGACCUUGGUUCUAUUUUGUUGGUUUCUAGAGCUGAGGUAAUGAUUAAUAGGGAUAGUUGGGGGCAUUCGUAUUUAACUGUCAGAGGUAAAAUUCUUGGAUUUGUUAAAGACGGACUACUGCGAAAGCAUUUGCCAAGGAUGUUUUCAUUGA
rnacentral:rRNA from 1 species